GUGUCGCACGCUUAUUAUAUCAAGCCUUCGUCACGGGGAGAUUUGACCACCGCAGCUUUGACAGAGAGGGCAGGAAAUGGCGUCGAAGACGUGGUCACUCUAUUCUACGUGGAUUCUCUUAGCGGUUAUCGUCGCCAUGAGCACUGUUGGUGCAAAAGGGUCCAAGUUACCUAUUCGAUCAUUAUUACCAAAAUGUAAACAAGGAGAACACUCAGGAUGUGUGAAACCUCCUGGUAAUCCGUGCGGCGAGGACACAUGCAACGUGAAAAAGCGCGGUAAUCUUUGCUCUCAAAGCUGUCUACUGGGCUGCGUGUGUAACAAAGGCCUGUAUCGUCGCUUCUCGGACGGGAAGUGCGUUCGUAAAAGUGAAUGCAAUGCCUAAUCUCGCCGACGAUGACGUCAUGCGGAUACGGCGCAGUACUAAACGACAGCCGCUGCAUAUCCCAGAUUUUUCCCGAUUCCUCAUGAUUCAAGAGCUAUGAUCUUGAAGAAGUCUCGUCGAAGGGACAGUCUGGCGGUCAUCUGACAGUUCUAAAACACGGCAAAAGAACAAAACAAAAACAAAUAAAACAUGCCCUUCAUUAUUU